GUCUAUGGCCAUACCACCCUGAAAAUGCCUGAUCUUGUCUGAUCUUUGAAGCUAAGUAGGGUUGGACCUGGUAAGUACUUGGAUGGGAGAAGGAGAGAAAGACAGAGAGACACCUGCA
rnacentral:rRNA from 1 species